UACGUAGGGGGCAAGCGUUGUCCGGAAUCAUUGGGCGUAAAGAGCGUGUAGGCGGCCUGGUAAGUCCGCUGUGAAAGUCCAGGGCUCAACCCUGGAAUGCCGGUGGAAACUGUCAGGCUCGAGUCCGGAAGAGGCGAGUGGAACUGCGAGUGUAGAGGUGAAAUUCGUAGAUAUUCGCAAGAACACCAGUGGCGAAGGCGGCUCACUGGCCCGGUACUGACGCUGAGGUGCGAAGGCCAGGAGCAACGG
rnacentral:rRNA from 1 species